ACAAAAAUGUUGAGCCCUGCGCCAAGUAGCACCCCUCAGGGACCCGGCGGCGGGUCUCAGCUCGCUAUCAGAGGGACUGGCUCCACGGGUAAGCCGUACUGCACAGUGGCUGAGAUGCUGCAGUCCUUGCGGAAAGGUUCAGCCGCCCCACAAGGAAAAGGGGAAGUUGCCACCGAGCYGGCCGGCUCAGGCACUGCCGAAAGCACGGAAGUGCCACAAGGUGCCUCCCAUGACUCAGAGGGGGGCGGAUCAAUCCCUAGUGUGCCGCCCUUGCYAUCAGCCUGUGAGUUGCAGCGACCCCCAGUCCCUCCUCCACUGCCUCCUGCGCGGCCUCCGAUGACGCUGCAAGGAGCGUGGCGGGAGCCCUCGACCCCACCCUCUCCCACAUCAUCGGGCACAGCUACGCCCACUACCCCCAAAGGAGGCGGGCCGUCUACGGCCCAGCUGGUAAAAAGGAUUGAGGAACUAUCAGAGAAGCUGGAAAAGCUGGAACUGAGGGACGGGAAAGUUGUUCGCGCACUUUGGAACACCGUACUAGAGACUUUAACGGCAAUGAGCCGGUCUGUCGGGGAGGUACUGCAAAGGGCGCGGGAGAACUCUGAGGGGGAGGCAUCGACAGCGCCGUCACCCGCUGCGUUCCAGAAAGCGGAAGUUUCCCCAGAGCCGGCUGGUCCAAGCUCUGAGGCAAACACGGAAGUGCACCCGGAGGAGGCUCAAAGAGGGGCAGCGGCCGCGCCCCUUGCUGACCUCAGAGACUUGGGCGGAAAGGAGUGCCGACCCUCUCCUAGUGCUCCCCCCCCGCCGCCGCCUAGCAACAAUCCCCUGCAUCCACCGUUGCCGCUGUCUACGCCACCUCAGCGGCCACCUCUACCCUCCUUCAACGAGACCACCCACUCACGCCAGACUCCAUCAGAGUACCCCCCACUGCUUUCGUCCAGCGAGUCUUCGGGGGACAACACGCCUGGCACCAGAAAUAAAGCACCGCCGUCACCAGGAGAAACCGUAAGAGUGCUACAGGAACUAUCGGAACACCUGAAAAAGGUGGAGCUACAGACGCAAGAGAGAGAGAGGGGAAUCCCUCCCUGCUUAGUAAAUCCCCUCRCCGAGCUUCCAAAGGAGUCUCGCUGGGGUGCUAUUAUCAAGAACGCUAUAUUGGAAGGCCAGUGGCAAGCCACCGGAGGGGUGGGCRGUUCCGCCCCGCUGGCAUUUCCAAUAUUAUACCAGCACGGGCAGGAAAAAUGGGAACCGCAUGAUUGGAAGAUCUUACAACAGGCCCGUACAACUGUUUCCACAUAUGGGAAUGUUGCAACCCGGCAUGCCAUCACCUAGCAUGCUACCAGACGGGUGGCACAUACUGAUAGUUGACUUGAAGGACUGCCUUUUUACCAUCCCUUUACAUCCUCAAGAUACAUAGCGUUUCGCCUUUUCUGUGCCAGCAAUAAACAAGGCUGCACCCGCGGAGCGUUAUGAGUG
rnacentral:lncRNA from 1 species